ACAGUGAACAAGACAGGAUGAGACAGAAAGAAGCGAAGGCAAGAGGAGGAGGGAGGGGCAGAGAGAAGGAGAGAAGAGGAUGGAAUACAAAAUACCAAGGGCUAAGCAGAGAGAAGAGAAAAGGAGCACAAAUGGAAGAGGAGAAGGUAAUUAAAAUAAUGAGACCACAGCAGAGGGAAUUGGUUGGUGUGGUGCGGUUGGUUGCCUUGUUCCAGCGCUGUGGUUUCUCGUCUUCGGAGUUAUGUGUGUGUGUGUGUUUUCUUGGCUUCACUGGCUUGCAGAGGCAUUCAGCAGCCAGAGGCAGCAAUCAGUUUCUUGUCACUAUUAAGUACAAGCUUUAAUUGAAUUUACAGAAAGUCCCCCGCGCUCAUUUGUUUUCUGUCCCACUUUGCGGUCGCACUUUUGAUGCUUCUACUUUCUUGUGAUGCUAUGCUGCUCUCUUCGUUCGGCUUUCACCAGUGUUAUCAAGCCCUACGGGGAACCACAGGGUAGCUUCACAUUGUCGUGAACCUGCUUCUCAGCGCCACGGCCACAGCAAGAAACAUGCUACAGCGCACUUUCACAUGGAGAAGAAGGGCACUCAUGCAAAGUCAGGGACACACAUUCACAGCGGUUUCCUGCGGGGAAACCAAACCACAGAUAAUCUUUUCUGUCACACUCUGCUCUCAACAUCUCUCCCCCUUUACUCUAUCUACUGUUAUCAUCUCCGCUGCUUCUUUUUCCUCCCCUCGUUUUCUCUCCACCGCUCAAAGGAGACAGCAUCUCAAUAUUCCCCUCAUGUCCCUGCUCCUCCUUCUAAAAAUACUCUCCCCAAAUCAAAUCCAUCAACUUGCCCUCACGCUCCUCCUCCUCUUCUCCGCUCUUGUGUCAGUCAAACCCCCGUAAACUCGACCUCCUGUCAAGCUCUCUCUCCUCCUCCUCUUCUUCUUCUUCUUUUCCACUUUAUGCACGCACUCCCUCACUUCGCUCCCCCGUCAGAAAAAGGCUUCUUUUUUGCGCUUUCUUCCCUCAUGUCCUUGUCAGCUGCAUUCCAGUUUGCUCCCUGCUCCAAAUGACUUCUCCCCCUUCAGGGAUCUCUCGCCGCUUUUCUCCCCCUCCUUUCCACUCUCGCAGUCUCUCGCGUUUGACUCCUCUGUUUCGCUCCGGUUUUCAGGUGGCUCGUCCUCCCAUCGCACCUCCUAUACUGCUCCUCCUCCUCCUCCUCCUGCGCCACAGCUCUGUCCGCGCAGCCGGUGAGCCCGUCACUGAUGAGAGCGCCUGUCUCACUCUGCGCUAACUCGCGAGCUGUCCUUCGCCCCCCUCUGUUUGUCUGCUGCUGCUGCUGCUGAGCCGCGCGGCUUCGGUACAAUGAGAGACUGCUGCGCGCGCCAAUGUGAAGGUUCUGUGUGGAGCUGCGGGAGACAGCCAGACAGGGCUCCCUCCUCACUGCACUCCUCCAGCUGUACGGUCUGGGCUUUUUGACACUCUGAGCUUGGAUUUACGUGCAUGUUACAUAAACAUUAAAACAACAUUUAUGGGACUGUAAUCUGAUUAACGAUCUCCCAAAGCUUCCUUUCUGUUCUCACUGUGGCUGUCAUAAAAAACCCCUCCAUAAAUUAGAUUUAUUGAGGUCUGAGUCCUGAGUUUAGAAAUGAAGCUCAAAAUUAAGUUUACCUUAGAUUAUUGCCACUUUUUAAAUUUUAUUUCCUUUAAAAAAGUAUUUGGCCACCUUUUUUCAACACUGAUUUAUUUAUGAUUAUUUGUGCCAGUUGUCUUUAGAGCAGUAUAAGACUAGUUUCUGACUUGGUGUCAUUUUUUCAUGGCUGAGGAAAGGGACAGAACAUUACUACAUUUUAAAACCUAUCACUGCAUAAACUCAUACCACACUUGUGUUUGAAAAGGUUGGCACUAAAUAUGGAUGUUUUUUUUUUUUUUAAUGGAUUUAAAUAUUUUGUCUUUCUUAUUUCAGGCCAAAUUAAAAAUGCUCAGGAGUUUAUUUCUGUACUUAAAACCAUUUAUUGACCUUGAAAUAUUCCCGGUUGGCUGUAGCUCAACUGCCAAAAACUGUUGACCGAAACAGUCUCUCUAUUUGUCACUUGACUGGGCCCAAGGCCGAGCUAUAUUAAGUGAUUUUGUUUUACAGCUACUGAAAUGUUCUGAGGGUAAUUUAUAAAUAGGUCCAGUUGAAGAGGCACCUCGCUAAUGAAACAUAUCUUAAUAAAUCUUGAUAAAUCUGAUGUUUUUGAUAUGUGCAUAUGUACAAAUUGCGUUGUGGGAGACAUAAAGGGUUUAUAAGUCUAAGUCUUACAGUAUGGCUCAGAUAAAAUGUCAGUUAUUUGAUGGAUUCUGAAAAGGUUUUUGUGCAAGAGGGGGGGACAACCACACUGGCCCGCCAGCUGGUUCUUAUUAUGGAUGGAGCACCUCCACAUGUUGAGAGAAGUGAAGACAAAUAUGGCAAAUACUGUGUUUUAGAAGUGGCAUCGAACCAAAGCAUGCCUAGGAGGAAUCUGGUUUCGGGACCUGCGUGACUUAUACAAGACGCUCUGUUUGUCCUGCAGAGUUCAGAACUGAUCAUGGCCCCAUUAGCUGCUCCUGACAGGUCAGAUGAAAUUCUGGCAUGUCUGAAAAUUUGGUCAGUUGAUCCUCUAACACAGCGGGAACAGAGCUGACUGCACCUGCGUAAAUCAUCAC
rnacentral:lncRNA from 1 species